UUUGAGCAAUAAAAUUGGACUGCUUAAACUUGGGGGUUAAUGUAGCCCUCUGGCUCACGUCAUAAAGGAAAUUGAUUUUUAUUUUCAAAGUCAAUGGUGAGUAAAUGAACAAUGGUUGCCAGGCAACCUGUGAGCAGGGAUUGAGUAGAGACUAAAGCAAACAGCAGCCUCCACCCGCCACCCCAGGAACCCAGAGCCUCUCAGGCCUUGUGCUUCUAGGUUACCCUGAUGGGCAGGACACGCUCCCAUCACCUGGGACUCCUGGCACCCUGGGGAGGGCUGUGCCUUCAGGACUCGCCUUAGACCAGGAGGAGCCAUGGAAGGAUUUUUCUGGAGAGAAGGAGUGGAGGCCCUGGCCAAGAGAGACCCUGCCUUCCUCUGAAGCAGUCUCACCAACUGCCUCAGAGCUCUCUGAAGUUUCCCCAGGCACUAGAGAGCAAGCUCUGUGAGAAGAGGGGCCCUGCCUGUGUUGUUUGUCACUGCAUCUCCAACACCAGACACUGGGCCUGGCACCUAGUGAGUGCUCAAAUAAUUAGUUGUUGAAUGAAUACAUGAAUGAGUGAAAUACUAAAUGGUCAUUGAACUAGACUGAGUAUUCUCCCAAGUCAGUAAUGGGGGGCUUCUGCUUGUGGGGCCCACUCUUAUUGCAGAAGGACAUCCCAAACACUUGCUCCUCUGCACACAGUUCUAACUGGCAGAUGAGAAAACUGAGGCC
rnacentral:lncRNA from 1 species